GACGAACGCUGGCGGCGUGCUUAACACAUGCAAGUCGAACGAAGUGGCGAACGGGUGAGUAACGCGUAAUCAACCUGCCCUUCAGAGGGGGACAACAGUUGGAAACGACUGCUAAUACCGCAUACUGAAGGAGGGGAUUGCGUCGGAUUAGCUAGUUGGAGGGGUAACGGCCCACCAAGGCGAAGAUCAGUAGGCGGGCUGGGAGGAUUGACGGCCACAUUGGGACUGAGAACCGGCCCAGACUCCUACGGGAGGCAGCAGGGGGGGAACUUCCGAAAUGGACGGAAGUCUUACGGAGGAACGCCGCGUGAGAGAUGGCAGGCUUUGGGUUGUAAAGCUCUGUUAAUCGGGACGCGGUACCGGAAGAGAAAGCCACGGCUAACUACGUGCCAGCAGCCGCGGUAAUUC
rnacentral:rRNA from 1 species